ACAACCGGGAUUGCCUUAGUAACGGCGAGUGAAACGGCAAAAGCUCAAAUUUGAAAUCUGGUACCUUCGGUGCCCGAGUUGUAAUUUGGAGAGGGCAACUUUGGGGCCGUUCCUUGUCUAUGUUCCUUGGAACAGGACGUCAUAGAGGGUGAGAAUCCCGUGUGGCGAGGAGUGCGGUUCUUUGUAAAGUGCCCUCGAAGAGUCGAGUUGUUUGGGAAUGCAGCUCUAAGUGGGUGGUAAAUUCCAUCUAAAGCUAAAUAUUGGCGAGAGACCGAUAGCGAACAAGUACAGUGAUGGAAAGAUGAAAAGAACUUUGAAAAGAGAGUGAAAAAGUACGUGAAAUUGUUGAAAGGGAAGGGCAUUUGAUCAGACAUGGUGUUUUGUGCCCUCUGCUCCUUGUGGGUAGGGGAAUCUCGCAUUUCACUGGGCCAGCAUCAGUUUUGGUGGCAGGAUAAAUCCAUAGGAAUGUAGCUUGCCUCGGUAAGUAUUAUAGCCUGUUGGGAAUACUGCCAGCUGGGACUGAGGACUGNGACGUAAGUCAAGGAUGCUGGCGUAA
rnacentral:rRNA from 1 species